AUACGAAGGGGGCUAGCGUUGUUCGGAAUUACUGGGCGUAAAGCGCACGUAGGCGGAGAUUUAAGUCAGGGGUGAAAUCCCAGAGCUCAACUCUGGAACUGCCUUUGAUACUGGGUAUCUUGAGUAUGGAAGAGGUAAGUGGAAUUCCGAGUGUAGAGGUGAAAUUCGUAGAUAUUCGGAGGAACACCAGUGGCGAAGGCGGCUUACUGGUCCAUUACUGACGCUGAGGUGCGAAAGCGUGGGGAGCAAACAGGAUUAGAUACCCUAGUAGUCC
rnacentral:rRNA from 1 species